UGCCGCGUGGAGGAUGAAGGUCCUCUGGAUUGUAAACUUCUUUUAUUUGGGACGAAAAAAGGGAAUUCUUUCUCACUUGACGGUACCAGAUGAAUAAGCACCGGCUAACUCCGUGCCAGCAGCCGCGGUAAUACGGAGGGUGCAAGCGUUAUCCGGAUUCACUGGGUUUAAAGGGUGCGUAGGCGGACAUUUAAGUCAGUGGUGAAAUCCUGCAGCUUAACUGCAGAACUGCCAUUGAUACUAUUUGUCUUGAAUGUCGUGGAGGUUAGCGGAAUAUGUCAUGUAGCGGUGAAAUGCUUAGAUAUGACAUAGAACACCUAUUGCGAAGGCAGCUAACUACGCGAAUAUUGACGCUGAGGCACGAAAGCGUGGGGAUCAAACAGGAUUAGAUACCCUGGUAGUCCACGCCCUAAACGAUGAUUACUCGACAUUAGCGAUACACUGUUAGUGUCUGAGCGAAAGCAUUAAGUAAUCCACCUGGGAAGUACGACCGCAAGGUUGAAACUCAA
rnacentral:rRNA from 1 species